UGUUUCUGAGUGUUCCUGAGUAAACGUAGAUUCUAAUGCUGCUGUAGAUUUUUCUUAUUUCUUUGUCAUCUCCAUUUAUAGACUGAAUUAAAACCCUCAGUCCUAAAUGAAAACCUGGCCUUCUGCAUGGUUGGGGAGGAGGCCAGAAUCUCUGCCUUGCUGCUUUUUAUCUCCAUCAUCUCCUGCCAACAGACUGCCUCGGAGAAGAUCAGUCCCAGCCCAGCAAUAGAAGUACGCACAAAACAGAAGAGAACAUGAAGGGACUUCGGUUUCCCUUUCAUCUCAAUACAUACGGGCUAAUGAAAUGACAUCCUAAGUCAUGUUAGGAUUCUAGUUCCCUUAGCAUCGCGUACCACUGUGGGACCUCUGUGUUUUGGUAAGCGUUCCGCUGCACCAACAAACUGUCCCCAAACUUAGUGGCUUAAACCAACCAUUUUAUUUUGUUCACAAUUUUGUGGGUCAGGCAUGCAGGAAGGCAUAGGCUGGGCAGUUCCUCUCUGAUUCACAGAAGUCAGCUGGGCCUGCUGGGACUGGAGACCCUUUCCAAGGUGACUACAUCCAUAUAUCUUGUACCUCUGUGCUUCUCAGCCUCUCUCCUCCUCCCCCUCCGCUCUCCUCCCUCUCCUUCCUCCUCCUCCUCCUCUUCCCUCUCCUCCACCACCCUUUUUCUUCUUUUUCUCCUCCUCCUCUUUCUUCUCCUUCUCCCUCUCCUCCUUCUUUUCCCUCUUGUUUUCUCUUGCUCCCCCUACGCAAUGACAUCUCUUCUGCUAAGCCUUCUCCAUGUGGCUUGACCUCUUCCCGGCAUGGUGGUCUCAGAGUAGGCACACUCCUUACUUGGGGAUUGGCUUCCAAGAGGCAAGAAGUGAAAGCAGCCAGGCUAGGGAAGACCUCCGAUGAUUUCACUGCUACGCCCACGAGAAGUUGACUGGUGAAAGCAGUCACAGGGCCCACUCACAUUUAAGGGCUGAAGACACAGACCCCUUCUCUUAAUGGGAGAUGGACAAGGUCACACUGCAGAAGGUACCUGGAGGGAGCUUUAAGACAAGAAUGUUUCUUAACCUCACCCUGGAGACAUUACGCUGACCUCCUUACAAACAGAAACACACUGGAAUCAGGUCUACUAUCUAGGAGACUAUUUUUCAGAUGUAAUCAUUUAUUCAUCCUUUCAGCCAUUUUGAAAAGCCAUCUCUCGUUGCCAAAAGAAGUGCUUCUAAAGUGUGCCUUUUCAGAAGAUCCCAAACCCUAUGUCCUCUCCAGGGAGAACAUUUCAAGCUUAUCAUUUCUCCAAGACAAACCUCAAAGGCAGAACUCCUCUCUCCAUGAGGCAGGUGUGAUUUAGCAGAACGUAGAAGAAAAGAGGAUUAUCAUUGUAAAACAGAGGUGCUGUCCCUAAUGACGUCACAAGGCAACAUUGUAUUUUUGAGACCUAGGAAUGACACAGACAGGGCCACUGUUAUUUCAGCAGCCUCAGAGAGACAAUGGCUGGGACAACAGUCCACGUGCACCAUGAUGCACAAAAGAAGCUAAGCGAAACAUUUCCACCAAAUGAUGGAGAAGAGCCGUUUGAAACCCUGAAAAAUGAAGAUAUACACGAGUAGAGAAGUUUAUUAUGAACUAACACUUUAAAAACAAGUAGAUCCUACGGAAGAAUACUGUUCA